UUUAUAGUAACAGAUGGCAACUGGACUGAAGAGGUGAAAAAAUGACAAUAGAAUAGUAUUAAACACUGCUACUUUCAGUAGGCCUAAAGAUGUCCUAGACCGCUGAAAUAUUCAAGCUGUCCUUUUACCAUACUGGAAAGCAGAUGAGAAUGGGAUUUUGGUUAUAUUAACAGUGUUCCAUUUUUUUUAAUUCAAGCAACCUGUUUAGCUUAAAACUACCUAUUCAAGUAACUAUUUCACUUUUCUCUUGAAAGUAACAUUCCUCCCUAGCAUUUUCUGCUUCCAAAAUACAAUACAAUUACAACACCUUUAGUCUCAAAUUGAACAAAAAACAUUUUUUCCCCAAAAAAUGCCUACAGGACAUAUAAAACCAAAUAUAUACAUACAGUCUCAUCUCAUGUAUUUUAUACAUCUGUAGAAAAAGUACAAUCCAAUCUUAAGGUAACUCUCACUCAAACAACCCAGUAAUGGAGACGGGGAAAUCAAGAGCAAAUUAGCUAUUGGAAUUCAAAGGCAAGCAAUUCAACGCUUAGAAAAGGAAGCCUUUCUCUAACUCUUUGUGCUGCCUCCUACAUGCAUAUAUAACCCACACCUUGUGAAUUAUCAUACCUAUAUAGCAUGCAUGAAAACAGUUCUUUCAAACUAUAACACAUGAAGCUACAAACAUUGUGUUUUGACAAAAUAAAAUAAGCUCCCAACAGCUUGUUCUGCCUACGCAACACAGAUGAACAAGGUAAGGUGCUCUACUAGACAUUAAAGUUGUUUGUGACCUCUGCUGAAAGAUUCCAAUUUCUGAGACAGAAAAACACUCAGAAUGGCUAUUAAUCUUACAAGACAGCAAUAAUAUACAUACGAAAAGAUCUUACUGCCCAGCUGUUACAUAUCUAUGGAAUCCUUCCCAUCAGUUCCACUCUGUAUUCCCAAUUUAGUAAUUUAGGUGACAGAAAAAAGCAGACUUAAGGAAUUGUGAAGCAGUUAUUUUCCCUCAUGAUUAAAAACUAACAUAUUUCUCCAAGCAACAGCAAUCAGAGUGUUUCUUACUCUAGAGAAGACUUACCAUUUUUUAAUGCUGCUAACAAAGCAAAGACACUGGCAUCCAAGAUGUUUCCAUCGUAGUCCAGACAUAUGAUGUCACAGUAUAACACCCAAGCAAGCUAUCAAAAAAGGUUUGCACAUGUGAGUUAUUACAGCAGCUAAGCAGAUGGUGCAGUAUCUAAGAAUACACUGGCCACACAAACAAAGAUACUUCUUUCAUAAGAACAAAAUUUUAUGCUCUAGACCUAAACCAAGCUAUGUAAAUUGGAAAGAAAAAAAAAAAAAAAACAUCCAAUACCUUCUUUAAAGUCUUACCACCAUGAUCUUGCUAGUAUGUAUUUAUAUACAACUAAAGAUACGACUUACCUUGCCAUUUGCAAUACACAGAUCUUCCUUUGCUAUUAUCUGUGAACUAAAAUAAAACGAGAAAGUAAAACAGCAAAUAGAAAAUUGUCUUUCAGAGUUGUUUGUGGUGUAAACGCAGUAAGAAGGUCCUUACUUUUCAAUCACAUCGGCAAUGAACUGGCUUGCUGCUUGAGCCUCUUCGCCAGGAGGUCCAGAGCGAAACCUUGUUGAACAGAGGGAUGGCAGUUCUACAUUUGGAACUAGGUAACAAAAAUCAUCAGUUAAACAUUAAAGAAAUCAUGGCAUGGGAAAUCAAAAAUAAGAUAAUAUGCACUUUUAAUACCCUUUCAUGUACUUCAAACGAAAAGCAAGACCAAGAAUUCUUCAGUCAAGCCUUCCUACUUUUCCCCUCAAAAACAGUUACUUACAAAUGAGUUUGGACUGAAGAGUUUGUAGAAGACUGUACUUGGAAAAGAAAUCACAGCAUGGUCUAAGAAAGGUAGUUAAGGCCUGCUGCUCACUGCACAUAAGGAUUCUUGCCUCUACUUGAGCCAGCUGCUCAUCGAGCUUAGAACAAGGCGCAGGCCAAGAGUCAGCACCUGUCAAGAUGCCAGGGAUCAGCUGUUCACUUAUCAGUAUGUGGAUAGAUGCUGCCUUCAGCAUCCAGAACAUGAAGCUGCUGGUCUUAGAAGGAGUCACACUUCUAAGACCACCUAAAUUUUGCUGUGCGUACCAGCCCGGGGCAGGACCAGAGAAAAAUGCUCAAAAAUAUUACUGUACUGUACAUUCUUUUUAAUGUUUGUUGGAACUAUAAAUAAAAAUCCUUCCUCUUC